rnacentral:rRNA from 1 species
CAAUAGCGUAUAUUAAAGUUGUUGCAGUUAAAAAGCUCGUAGUUGAAUUUUUGCUUGCCGCCGAUGUCGGAACUUCCGUACGUUCGGCGGCGUGCAUCCUUGGGUGGAACCUGUGUGGCAUUAGGUUGUCGUGCAGGGGAUGCUCAUCGUUUACUGUGAAAAAAUUAGAGUGUUCAAAGCAGGCUUACGCCGUUGAAUAUAUUAGCAUGGAAUAAUAAUAUAGGACCUUGGUACUAUUUUGUUGGUUUGUGCACCGAGGUAAUGAUUAAUAGGGACAGUUGGGGGUAUUCGUAUUGUAUUGUCAGAGGUGAAAUUCUUGGAUUUUUGCAAGACGAACGACUGCGAANGNAUUUAGNAAGGAUGUUUNCAUUA